UCGAAUCCGUUGGGGUGCCCCGCUGGGGGCUGAGAGGCGCGAGCCGACCCAUCGAACCUGAUCCGGUUAGCACCGGCGGAGGGAACGGAGACGCGACCCGA
rnacentral:ncRNA from 2 species